AUCCUUACGUGAAUACAUAGCGUGAGGAAGGCAGACCCAGGGAACUGAAACAUCUAAGUACCUGGAGGAAGAGAAAGAAAAAUCGAUUUCCUGAGUAGCGGCGAGCGAAACGGAAAGAGCCCAAACCAAGAAGCUUGCUUCUUGGGGUUGUAGGACACUCUAUACGGAGUUACAAAAGAAAGUUAUAAAUGAAGCGGUCUGGAAAGGCCCGCCAAAGACGGUAACAGCCCGGUAGUUGAAAUGGCUUUCCCUCCAGAGUGGAUCCUGAGUACGGCGGAACAUGUGAAAUUCCGUCGGAAUCCGGGAGGACCAUCUCCCAAGGCUAAAUACUCCCUAGUGACCGAUAGUGAACCAGUACCGUGAGGGAAAGGUGAAAAGCACCCCGGAAGGGGAGUGAAACAGUUCCUGAAACCGUGUGCCUACAAGUAGUUAGAGCCCGUUAAUGGGUGAUAGCGUGCCUUUUGUAGAAUGAACCGGCGAGUUACGAUUUGUUGCAAGGUUAAGCGGAAAAAGCGGAGCCGUAGCGAAAGCGAGUCUGAAUAGGGCGCAUAAGUAACAGGUCGUAGACCCGAAACCAGGUGAUCUACCCAUGUCCAGGAUGAAGGUAAGGUAAUACUUACUGGAGGUCCGAACCCACGCACGUUGAAAAGUGCGGGGAUGAGGUGUGGGUAGCGGAGAAAUUCCAAUCGAACUUGGAGAUAGCUGGUUCUCUCCGAAAUAGCUUUAGGGCUAGCCUCGAGGUAAAGAGUCAUGGAGGUAGAGCACUGUUUGGACUAGGGGCCCUUCUCGGGUUACCGAAUUCAGAUAAACUCCGAAUGCCAUGUACUUAUACUCGGGAGUCAGACUGCGAGUGAUAAGAUCCGUAGUCGAAAGGGAAACAGCCCAGACCACCAGUUAAGGUCCCCAAAUAUAUGUUAAGUGGAAAAGGAUGUGGGGUUGCUUAGACAACCAGGAUGUUGGCUUAGAAGCAGCCACCAUUGAAAGAGUGCGUAAUAGCUCACUGGUCGAGUGACCCCGCGCCGAAAAUGUACCGGGGCUAAACAUAUUACCGAAACUGUGGAUGAACCUCUUUAGAGGUUCGUGGUAGGAGAGCGUUCUAAGGGCGGUGAAGUCAGACCGGAAGGACUGGUGGAGCGCUUAGAAGUGAGAAUGCCGGUAUGAGUAGCGAAAGAAGGGUGAGAAUCCCUUCCACCGAAUAUCUAAGGUUUCCUGAGGAAGGCUCGUCCGCUCAGGGUUAGUCGGGACCUAAGCCGAGGCCGAUAGGCGUAGGCGAUGGACAACAGGUAGAGAUUCCUGUACCAGUGCUAAUUGUUUAACCGAUGGGGUGACACAGAAGGAUAGGGAAUCGCACGAAUGGAAAUGUGCGUCCAA
rnacentral:rRNA from 1 species